AGAGAGAGAGAGAGAGAGAGAGAGAGAGAGAGAGAGAGCAAAUAUAAUGGUCUUGAUUUCAUUCUACAUGAUGAGAUUUUAUUGACAAAUUAAAGUCACACACACAAAACUUUUUCAGAUGAAAAUUAAAGUAUCAUCAUCACCAAAAAAACCAAGAGCCAAAUACAUAAUAGUCAUUAUUAUGUACACUAUAUAACAAUGCUACCACAUUGAACCCCUCUCUCUCUCUCUCUCUCUAAAUUCUCUCUCAUCAAAAACUCUCAAAAGAAAAUAUAUUUCAUAAUCAUGGCAACUCGUUUACACCUAGUUUUCAUCGUCUUCACCACCACUCUCCUCCUCUCAACCACCCCAAAAACCCUCUCCAUCGCCCUAUUUUCCGGCCAUCACCACUCCACCAAAAACCACCACCACCACCACCACCACAAAGAGCAUGUUUUCCACCCCGACAGAGGUAGAAAUCAUGCUCAAACGACGGAUAAAGAUUUCAACUCGGAGAAACGAAGAGUUCCAACGGGAUCCAACCCUCUUCACAACAGACGAUAGAGUUAUUAAUUAUUCGAAAACGGUGUUAUUACAACCUUUUUUUUCGACGACGACUAAGUGGCUCUUGUAGGUGAUGCAUGCACCGGACGAAAUACACUGACCAACAUAUCUUCCACGGAUUUACACAUAAUCACACACACGUGAAUGUGUGAAAAAACGCGCAAGUGUGAGGUCAUAUUUUACCCGAUACUUCUUUGAGUACAUUUAAAGAUGACGAACAAGAUAUGAAUUCACGACUCAUCGUAUAAAAAAACCAACUCUCACUCAUCUUCGUAUUCUUUUUUCGUUCUCGCAAAACACCAAAAAUCGUACAUAUGCUGAUAUACACACGUAUACGCUAAUUCAUUCCCCUGAUCCUUAUACUUAGACAACAAACACUACAUACAUCCACCACUAAGUGUAGAAAGGAAACGAGACGGGAAAU